CCACAGCAAGCAUUUGACUGUCCUUUCAUGGUGGCAAGGGGCUUCCAGGACUGUUAAACAGCAAAACAGCAACAAGACUAUGCUGAACUCUUCGAGAAGAAACACAUUCCUGAGAGAACAAAUGGGGCAUUCCACCUGUAUUCCACGGAGGAAGACUUAUUUCAAGACAUAAGCAGAGCCACUUGUAGAAGGAUACUGCUCUUAUCUUUUUGUGUUUUUCAUGACCUUUCUUUUCAGGCAAUGUGUUGCAGUUUGGUCCCAUAAUAUGCAACUAGGUUUGUCUGGGCUGACUUAUCUGGGUUAAAAUAUUCAAAGUAAUUCUCCAUUUGCUAUCCUUCCCAAAACACUUUGUUAAAAGUUAUCAGUACAUAGGUAAAAUAGCUUAACACAGUGAAAAUUCUAAUUCAGAAUAAUUAUCUGAAAGGCUUAAGUGAAUUAAAAUCUGAUUUAUAAAAUUCUUUUUGAUAUCUACGAAUGUAUUUUUAAGUUCUCUCAAAAUAUGAGCUGAUUCUCAGACAUUUUCAAGGAGAGUUCCUUUUGGACCUGUUUUAACAAACAGGUAAAAAUCAUUUUUAAUUAGUUCAUCAUUCAUAUGCAAAUAAAUGCUGCUACAGAAUUUCAAGAGUGCCUGAAAGGACUUCCUAAGGAAAGCUAAUAGUUCCCUCGUGAUUUUUUUCUAUUUAUAGUUUAUUUAUCAAACACUUUCAUAGAAAAAGUACAAAGAUCGUGAUCUUACCUAUGCUAGAAUUAUCUCAGCUUCUUAAAUACUGUUUAUUUAAUGAGAUUUUACUGGAAUCCUCAUCGUUAGUUUUAUCACACAGGAAUGGUAAUUGUGUCAUGUGUAUAAACCUUCUGGAAAACAUUCCAGACCUCAGUUCCUUAUGGUUUGAUUUUAGCUAUUUCUAGGACAUUUAUUUUAACAUUAAACAGGAUUCUGAAAAUUUUGUGGAUUUAGUGUUGAUUUGUCUAAUGCAUAUUUGUCGGCAUCUUUUUCCUCAUAAGCAACAUGUUGGGAGAUGGUGUAGACAAAGGUAAGGAUCCAAAUCAUCAGUUGAAAGUG
rnacentral:lncRNA from 1 species